UAAUACGGAGGAUACAAGCGUUAUCCGGAUUUAUUGGGUUUAAAGGGUGUGUAGGCGGGAGAUUAAGUCAGUGGUGAAAUCCUACAGCUUAACUGUAGAACUGCCAUUGAAACUGAUCUUCUUGAGUACAGUUGAGGUAGGCGGAAUGUGUAAUGUAGCGGUGAAAUGCCUAGAUAUUACACAGAACACCGAUUGCGUAGGCAGCUUACUAAACUGGUACUGACGCUGAGGCACGAAAGCGUGGGGAGCGAACAGGAUUAGAUACCCUGGUAGUCCACGCCGUAAACUAUGAUUACUCGAUGUGUGCAAUAUAUCGUACGCGUCUGAGCGAAAGCAUUAAGUAAUCCACCUGGGGAGUACGGUCGCAAGAUUG
rnacentral:rRNA from 1 species